rnacentral:rRNA from 1 species
AUACGUAGGUGGCGAGCGUUGUCCGGAUUUACUGGGUGUAAAGGGCGAGUAGGCGGGCUUGCAAGUCAGAUGUGAAAUACCGAGGCUCAACUUCGGGGCUGCAUUUGAAACUGCGAGUCUUGAGUGAUGGAGAGGCAGGCGGAAUUUCCUGUGUAGCGGGUAAAUGCAUAGAUAUUGGGAAGAACACCAGUGGCGAAGGCGGCCUGCUGGACAUUAACUGACGCUGAGGAGCGAAAGUGUGGGGAGCAAACAGGAUUAGAUACCCUGGUAGUCCACACCGUAAACGAUGGAUACUAGGUGUGCGGGGACUGACCCCCUGCGUGCCGCAGUUAACACAAUAAGUAUCCCACCUGGGGAGUACGAUCGCAAGAUUGAAACUCAAAGGAAUUGACGGGG